rnacentral:lncRNA from 1 species
UCCACCUCCACUAGUUUCAUCUCUUUUUGUUUCGUAAUGUAUUAUGUUUUCCAUAUGUUGCGUUAGAAUACGGUAGUGAGAUCCAGCAACAAACAUCUGACCUCAAUAUAGCUCCUCUCACUGCUAUCACAAAAUCAGCGGGCACGAUAGAGUAUGAAGAGCUUCUCAACUACAACUAAUGAAGGGACCAUCGGUUUUGGGUUGCAGUUGACACUAAUCGUUGGUACCACCAGACAAUUGUUCAGCCAGGGGAAAUCAGCAUAACUAUUGGAUCAGAAUUUGAUUAAUGUAUUCGUUAAUUUAAGAUAGAUGACAGGUGAUCAUUUGUUUAUUUUCGUUGUAAAUAAAUACGAUAGUAGAUGAUAGA